UACGUAGGGGGCAAGCGUUGUUCGGAAUUAUUGGGCGUAAAGCGCGCGUAGGCGGUUUAUCAAGUCAGAUGUGAAAUCCUCGGGCUUAACCCGAGAACUGCAUUUGAAACUGAUAGGCUAGAGUCUAGAAGAGGAGAGUGGAAUUCCUAGUGUAGCGGUGGAAUGCGCAGAUAUUAGGAAGAACACCAGUGGCGAAGGCGGCUCUCUGGUCUAUGACUGACGCUGAGGUGCGAAAGCUAGGGGAG
rnacentral:rRNA from 1 species